rnacentral:lncRNA from 1 species
GGAAAAGAAACAUUGCUCUGCUAGGAUAGGAAGUGAGGUAAAGAGAAAUUGCUCAUUUGCAAAUAAGAAGCUCCCUGGUUGGCAGAAGAGGAAAGAGGUUGAGAGAUUCCUAGGGAAGAAAUAGUGAACAAGUACGACCAGAAGUUGGAACUUGGCUAAAGGAUAGAGAAGGGAAACAUAGAAUGUUGGAGAAGCUGAGACAGUGAAGAAGAGCAGUUUGGAACACUAGUAAAAAUAGUCCACAUCAGAGCAGCUGAUGAUGCUGCCACAUGCUGGGAAAAAUAUUUCACUGACACAUCUGUCAUCUGGAUUAUUGCAAAUGACAAUGAGGCAAUUGGUCUGGAGCAUGUUCUGUUCUUCAUUUGAACACAUUUCACAGUGGAUCAUGGUAUGUGCCCUUCUUCCUCAUUUGGCUAUUAAUUUCUCAAGAGUGCAUCCCUGGCCUAUUUAUUACUUUCCAUUUCUCUUCUAUC